UACGUAGGUGGCGAGCGUUAUCCGGAUUUACUGGGCGUAAAGCGCGUGUAGGCGGUUUCGUAAGUCGGAUGUGAAAGCUCCUGGCUCAACUGGGAGAGGCCAUUCGAUACUGCGGGACUUGAGGUCGGGAGAGGGACGUGGAAUUCCCGGUGUAGUGGUGGAAUGCGUAGAUAUCGGGAGGAACACCAGUGGCGAAGGCGGCGUCCUGGCCCGCACCUGACGCUAAGACGCGAAAGCGUGGGUAGCGAACGGGAUUAGAUACCCCCGUA
rnacentral:rRNA from 1 species